UCAGACCUGCACCUUCCUUGAACAUGUCGGUAUCUUACUCUGUAUUUGUUCACGGUGGUCACCCCAGGGUCUCAGGACUCAAAUUGAGUGCUCUAUGGAUUAAACAGAAAAUGCAGUAUAAACAAAUGUUAUGUUGUCUUGAACAUGUUGGUAACUUACUCUGUAUUUGUUCACGGUGGUCACCCCAGGGUCUCAGGACUCAAAACGAUUGCUCUAUGGAUUGAACAUAAAAUGUAGUAUAAACAAGUGUUAUGUUUUUAAAUGCCACUAAUAAUGUGUUUCUGUUUUCUUUCUCAUUAUGCUAACAAACACUCUUUUACCCCUCAUGUUAGGUAGAUCAACACUCCAACCAUCUGCAUUAGGGACUGAAUAAAGGAUGCCCUCUGUAGCUGGGAAUGUUAGAUCAGGCGGAUCAACAUUCCAUCCAUCUGCAUUAGGAUCUACCUUAGAGACACUCACUGGAGCUGUAAAUGGGAAGCAGGUCACUUACUUUGCAUUCGUCCUUGGUGGUCACCCAAGGGUCUCUAGAGUGAACAUUACUCAAUCUAUGGAUUAAACAGAAA